AUUAAUGUGAGAAUCAUUAACGCCGUAAACCCAAGGUUUCCUACGCGAUGCUCGUCAUCGUAGGGUUAGUCGGGUCCUAAGCCGAGUCCGAAAGGGGUAGGCGAUGGCAAAUUGGUUAAUAUUCCAAUACCAACAUUAGUGUGCGAUGGAAGGACGCUUAGGGCUAAGGGGGCUAGCGGAUGGAAGUGCUAGUCUAAGGUCGUAGGAGGUUAUACAGGCAAAUCCGUAUAACAAUACUCCGAGAACUGAAAGGCUUUUUGAAGUCUUCGGAUGGAUAGAAGAACCCCUGAUGCCGUCGAGCCAAGAAAAGUUUCUAAGUUUAGCUAAUGUUGCCCGUACCGUAAACCGACACAGGUGGGUGGGAUGAGUAUUCUAAGGCGCGUGGAAGAACUCUCUUUAAGGAACUCUGCAAAAUAGCACCGUAUCUUCGGUAUAAGGUGUGGUUCGCUUCGUACUAGGAUUUACUCCGAAAGCGAAGAAACUUACAACAAAGAGUCCCUCCCGACUGUUUACCAAAAACACAGCACUCUGCUAACUCGUAAGAGGAUGUAUAGGGUGUGACGCCUGCCCGGUGCUCGAAGGUUAAUUGAUGGGGUUAGCAUUAGCGAAGCUCUUGAUCGAAGCCCGAGUAAACGGCGGCCGUAACUAUAACGGUCCUAAGGUAGCGAAAUUCCUUGUCGGUUAAAUACCGACCUGCAUGAAUGGCGUAACGAGAUGGGAGCUGUCUCAAAGAGGGAUCCAGUGAAAUUGUAGUGGAGGUGAAAAUUCCUCCUACCCGCGGCAAGACGGAAAGACCCCGUGGACCUUUACUACAGCUUGACACUGCUACUUGGAUAAGAAUGUGCAGGAUAGGUGGGAGGCUUUGAGUAUAUGACGCCAGUUGUAUAUGAGCCAUUGUUGAGAUACCACUCUUUCUUAUUUGGGUAGCUAACCAGCUUGAGUUAUCCUCAAGUGGGACAAUGUCUGGUGGGUAG
rnacentral:rRNA from 1 species